GCCCCUACGGGGCGCAGCAGUGAGGAAUAUUGGUCAAUGGGCGGGAGCCUGAACCAGCCAAGUCGCGUGAAGGAAGAAGGUACGUAGUAUUGUAAACUUCUUUUGUCGGGGAACAAAGGCGGAGACGCGUCUCCGGAUGAGUGUACCCGAAGAAAAAGCAUCGGCUAACUCCGUGCCAGCAGCCGCGGUAAUACGGAGGAUGCGAGCGUUAUCCGGAUUUAUUGGGCUUAAAGGGUGCGCAGGCGGGAGAUCAAGUCAGCGGGAAAAUGUCGGGGCUCCACCCCAGCCGGCCGU
rnacentral:rRNA from 1 species